rnacentral:rRNA from 1 species
UGAAGGAAUAGGAAGGAAUGUACUUCCAGAAUAGUCUCGGCUACUACGUGCCAGCAGCCGCGGUAACACGUAGGAGGCAAACGUUAUCCGGAUUUACUGGGCGUAAAGCGCGUGUAGGUGGUACUGUAAGUAGGGCGUGAAAGCUCCUGGCUCAACUGGGAGAGGCCGUUCUAAACUACAGAACUAGAGGAUGGUAGAGGGAGGUGGAAUUCCAGGUGUAGCGGUGGAAUGCGCAGAUAUCUGGAGGAACACCGGUGGCGAAGGCGGCCUCCUGGACCAUUCCUGACACUCAGACGCGAAAGCUAGGGUAGCAAACGGGAUUAGAGACCCCGGUAGUCCUAGCCCUAAACGAUGUAGACUAGGCGUCGGAAGCUUAAUCGCUUUCGGUGUCCAAGCUAACGCGAUAAGUCUACCGCCUGGGGACUACGGCCGCAAGGUUAAAACUCAAAGGAAUUGACGGGUCCCCGCACAAGCAGCGGAGCGUGUGGUUUAAUUCGUUGCUACACGAAGAACCUUACCUGGGUUUGACAUAGCAGUGGUAGGGAAGCGAAAGCGGACCGACCCUUCGGGGAGCUGUUACAGGUGUUGCAUGGCUGUCGUCAGCUCGUGUCGUGAGAUGUUCGGUUAAGUCCGCUAACGAGCGCAACCCGCGUUGUGUGUUACAAGUGUCACACAAUACCGCCGGUAUUAAGUCGGAGGAAGGUGCGGAUGACGUCAAGUCAGCAUGACCUUUAUAUCCAGGGCUACACACACGCUACAAUGGUCAGCACAAUAGGUUGCCAAGUCGUGAGACGGAGCCAAUCCUCCAAAGCUGGCCUCAGUUCAGAUUGCAGGCUGCAACUCGCCUGCAUGAAGUUGGAGUUGCUAGUAACCGCAGGUCAGCUAUACUGCGGUGAAUACGUUCCCGGGGAUUGUACACACCGCCCGU